AGGACAAACGCUGGCGGCGUACCUAAGACAUGCAAGUCGAACGGACUGCAGGUUUUUCGGAUUUGCAGUGAGUGGCGAACGGGUGAGUAACGCGUAGGAACCCGCCUCGACGUGGGGGGAUAACACUUGGAAACAGGUGCUAAUACCGCAUGUGGUCGGAAGAAGAAAGGCUCUAGCAAUAGAGUCGCGUUGAGAGGGGCCUGCGUCCGAUUAGCUAGUUGGUGGGUAAAGGCUCACCAAGGCGACGAUCGGUAGCUGGUCUGAGAGGAUGGUCAGCCACACUGGGACUGAGACACGGCCCAGACUCCUACGGGAGGCAGCAGUUAGGAAAUUUUGCCAAUGGGGGAAACCCUGAGCGAGUAACGCCGCGUGGAGGAAGACGGCCUUCGGGUUGUAAACUCCUUUUCUGUGGGACGAUGAUGACGGUACCACAGGAAUAAGCCCCGGCUAACGUACGUGCCAGCAGCCGC
rnacentral:rRNA from 1 species